GCGAUGAAAUGACUCCGAACUGCCUCACAUGAUUUCGAUUCACGUAGAUCUUCGUUUUUAGCACUUCGUGGAACUAUAAUAUUACGCGACGAAAUCAAUUACGUAGUAUUGCGUGAUGAAGUCGAUAAUCUAUAAUGUUACAUGUAAAAAAUAAUUUAUAAUAUUACGCGAUAAAAUAGACACGAUAUCAGUAACGAUUAUCUUACAAUUAGUAAGCGAAAUGCUAAAUGUAAUCAGCUACUUGAAUUUCGCACCUUUCGGAGGAGAAAAUCCGUCCGGGAGGGGAUUUUGCUUGAUCGCAGAUUUUUUUUCUUACGUUAAUGAUCUCUAUUUCUCUUUUUCUUAAUAGAUAUUUAUAAUAAAUUAUAUAUUUCACUUUACAGAUAUUUUUCGGUUGAACGCUAUCCCGUUCCAUUUUUAAACUAAGAUACAAGUCCUUUUUGAUACGGAACUGAGAAAUUCCUGGAAGAAACCCAUGAGCAGAUGCGUUGCGAAAGCUUGCGGUGAAGAUAAGAGUCCGGCGACGAAAAACGCUUAAUUAAUUAUGUUAUAUAAUGUUCCAAAAUUGGCAACUAGCAGGCACAAAAGUUUGCGUCCCUUGUGAAAUUCGUGAGUCCAUCUUUCCUGAAAAUCGCAGAGGUCAUCCAUUUGUCACAAUCCUUCACAUUUCAAUAUAUUUGAUAUUUUAUUAAAGAAUUCUCAAAUUAUAAAACUUCUUCGAAGUAAAUUUUCAAGGAAGAAUAAUCAUCUCUUAUUUAUUCACGCCUCUGAGCUUGACUUGUGAGAAGUCCUGCACAUUUUCAUUGGUUCAUAGCUCGCAAAAUAUUUAUUUAUUUUUUUUUUAUCAUGAUAUUUCGUUGACAAAAAGCAACUUCACAAAUUUCGGCAGCAUUACUGUGUAUUCGUUUUUUUCCUUCACUUUUAGGAAACUUUAAUUAUUUUACACUUUUAUAUUCAUCAAAUUGCAUUUUUAACAAGAACAAAAAAAAAUAAUUUACAGAAAAAUACUACGAAAAAGAAAUUUGUAGCUUUGCUUUUUUUGACAAUUAUUGCUAAUUUGAAUGCUUUGUCAAAGAUACUUGGAAACUAUAAAAUACAUAUCAAACUAAAUAAUCAAAAAAUAAAUAUAUAAAAAAAAGGGCAGACAUACAGAGAUAGUUCUUUUCGUUUUGAUACAUCGCUUUUCGCAGUCUUGCCUCUCACACAUAGGAUAGUGAUAUUGUACGAAAUUGUUUAAUUCUUUAAGAGUGAAAAAUUACACUGCCGAACAAUAAAGCUAUGCUUUGACGGAUGAGAGUGUGCAAUUGAAUUUCUUUACAGAAGUAUGCAAGAGAGUAUCGAAAAAGUUUCGAGACUGAUCAAUUAUCAUAAAACAAAGUUUGAAAGAAAUCUAUGGCUUGCCGCUUUUCAAACUUUCCAAAUUUAGUUUUUUUUUUGUAAGUAAUAGAUAAGUAGAUGGUAUGUCUUAAAUUUUGUCUGGUAGAUGCAGUCUUAAAUUUUUUUUUGUAAAAUAGAAAUUGUGUGAACGACGAAGUACUUCUGAGAAUAACAAUUCCUAUUUUUUUAUACUUUUAGAAAAAAAGAGAAAUAUCCAACAAAUUUUUGAAGGAUUGAUGAGGAUGGGAAAUAACUGAAUGAAAUAACUUAUUGUUUCAUCCCAAGAAAAUAAAUUUAACAAAUAUAUUAGACGCAGUUCUACAAAAUAAUGUUCGGUACAACUAGACUAGACGUCUUAUCAUAACACUGAUUCCAAGGGACCGCUUCAAAGGAAGACAAGCCAGACACAAUAUAUUCUUUUCAGGAUUUCGUUUUAUUUUGCAAUUCACUCAGCUCUGCAACUUUUUGGACACAUCUUGCAUAUUAUCAGAUUCGAAUUACGCAUUCUUCUCCAAUAUUGCACCUACGAGAAAAUUAUGUAUCACGUUUGUAAUGUGUCACGCGACUUUCCAUCGUCACAGCGAGUGAUUAGUUUUUUUUUUUUUCUUUUAACAUAUUCGCCGUAAAUUACACAUACAAUGAACGAAAGGAAUUUUGAGUAGAAAAUCUUUACGACGUGCUUAGACAAAAAUAUUUUUCGCUUAAUUAAGGCACCGAUGUACCUAACUUAUCGGUAGCUUGAAGAAAUCGCGUUGCUUUCUAUAUUUGCGCGACAAGAGCCCCUGUACAGUCUUGUGAAAUACUUUAAAAUCUGCAAAACGACUUGAGAACUGCAGCAAUCGCUCAAAUUUUGUUUAUGUACUUCUGUUGAAUGUUAUUUGCCUAUUCUCAAGAGUAAUCCUCGCGUUCACUCCUUUUUUUCUCGUUUACUUUUUCCUCCUCGAUAGAAUUUCGUAUUAAAUUGUUUUGGCAUAAAUUACACGGCAUGAGCUAGAAAAGAGAAAAAGAUGUAAACUUAUUUACGCGUAGGGCACAAUACACACUGUCCGAAUGCAUUGGCAUUCUUCUCUCUCUCUCUCUUUCCCGAAUGAAAUUAUCGUACCCAAAAUACGUAAAAAGCGGACCGUUGUCAUGUACCAUCGUUCGCUCGAAGAUGAGAAAUUGAACGUCAUCAACACCUAUUUUAUUAUCGUGUAAAAAUAAUGCAGUGCUAGUGUCGCGUUUCAUGAUAUCAACUAUUCUGUAUCUACAUAAUUUAUAUCUCACAAUUAACAACUCAUUUCGCUUACGAUCACAAAAUCAAUCACGCGAAUGCCUUUUGCUCUGACGUUUUUGUAACUCAGCACUGAUCAUGUUUUUUUUUUUUCUUUUUUCUUUGAAUGUUCUCUUAAUUUUUUCACCACAACGACAACGAUAACGAUGACAGAGAUGAUGAUAAUAAUGAUGGUAAUGAUAACAAUAGUUUGUGAGAAUAAUAGGGGAGAAUAGAAGCGA